rnacentral:rRNA from 1 species
UACGUAGGGGGCUAGCGUUGUCCGGAAUCAUUGGGCGUAAAGAGCGCGUAGGCGGUCUCGCAAGUCGGAUGUGAAAGCCCAGGGCUCAACCCUGGAAGUGCACUCGAUACUGCGAGGCUAGAGUCCCGGAGAGGAUGGUGGAACUCUCGGUGUAGAGGUGAAAUUCGUAGAUAUCGAGAAGAACACCGGUGGCGAAGGCGGCCAUCUGGACGGUGACUGACGCUGAGA